rnacentral:rRNA from 1 species
CCUACGGGUGGCAGCAGUGAGGAAUAUUGGACAAUGGGCGCGAGCCUGAACCAGCCAAGUAGCGUGAAGGAUGACUGCCCUACGGGUUGUAAACUUCUUUUAUAAAGGAAUAAAGUGAGGCACGUGUGCCUUUUUGUAUGUACUUUAUGAAUAAGGAUAGGCUAACUCCGUGCCAGCCGCCGCGGUAAUACGGAGGAUCCGAGCGUUAUCCGGAUUUAUUGGGUUUAAAGGGAGCGUAGAUGGGUAGUUAAGUCAAUUGUGAAAGUUUGCGGCUAAACCGUAAAAUGGCAAUUGAUACUGGCAGCCUGGAGUACAGAUGAGGUAGGAGGAAUGCGCGGUGUAGCGGUGAAAUGCUUAGA